rnacentral:rRNA from 1 species
AAUCAACGCUGGCGGCGUGCCUCAGACAUGCAAGUCGAACGAUUAAAGCUCUCUUCGGAGAGUGUAUAGAGUGGCGCACGGGUGAGUAACACGUAAGUAAUCUACCUUUGAGUGGGGAAUAACAUCGGGAAACCGAUGCUAAUACCGCAUAAUGCAGCGGCAUCGCAAGAUGACAGUUGUUAAAGAUUUAUCGCUUGAAGAGGAGCUUGCGGCAGAUUAGCUAGUUGGUAAGGUAAUGGCUUACCAAGGCUACGAUCUGUAACCGGUCUAAGAGGACGGUCGGUCACACUGACACUGAAUAACGGGUCAGACUCCUACGGGAGGCAGCAGUCGAAGUUAGUUGA